rnacentral:sRNA from 1 species
GGUCGCGAACAUUAGUCUUCGCGAACCAGUUUAUCUCCAGUUAAUCGCGAAAUAAAGUCGCCGCAAAUAAAAAUUGGUUUACAGUAUAUAAAGUGCAUUUAUAAUUUUGAGCUCGCAUAUGAAUUAGAAAAAAAUCUGAAAUUUAAAAUUAAACAAAGCACAAUGUUAUACACAUAUUUCUUAUAUCUAUGAGUAUUCUUAUUUAUUUUUUCUUAAUUCUAACAUAACUAAUAUAUCAGAUUUGGUUUAGUGUCUCAAGGACUGUAUUUUUUACCAAAUUGUUCAUUUUUUUUGUUACUUGAAAAAUCUAGAUCAUUUCAAAUUGAUGGCUUGAAUAAUAAUACACAUGUACUUGUUGUCUUCACCCCCGAGUCAGAUAAUUGUUUAACAGACGAUGGAACUAAACAAAACAUCUCUCAUUUUCAAGACUUCGUCCCUAUAAAUAAAGCUGUUAACUCUUUUAUUGAGAGUAUAACAAUGUACAUUCAAGGUACCUUAAGCAUUAUCUUGAAUAAAUAAAGGAAUCAUCGUUUUUUUGGAAUCAUUUUAACAUCUUGAAUAGUUUGUUAUCAUAUUUAUCUGAAUAAAAAGUUACAUUAAGU